rnacentral:rRNA from 1 species
GGAUGCGAUCAUACCAGCACUAAAGCACCGGAUCCCAUCAGAACUGCAAAGUUAAGCGUGCUUGGGCGAGAGUAGUACUAGGAUGGGUGACCACUUGGGAAGUACUCGUGUUGCAUUCC